rnacentral:rRNA from 1 species
AGUGAACGCUGGCGGUAGGCCUAACACAUGCAAGUCGAACGGCAGCACAGGAGAGCUUGCUCUCUGGGUGGCGAGUGGCGGACGGGUGAGGAAUACAUCGGAAUCUACUUUUUCGUGGGGGAUAACGUAGGGAAACUUACGCUAAUACCGCAUACGACCUACGGGUGAAAGCAGGGGACCUUCGGGCCUUGCGCGAAUGAAUGAGCCGAUGUCGGAGUAGCAAGUUGGCGGGGGAAAGGCCAGCCAAGUCGGCGAUCCGUAGCUGGUCUGAGAGGAUGAUCAGCCACACUGGAACUGAGACACGGCCCAGACUCCUACGGGAGGCAGCAGUGGGGAAUAUUGGACAAUGGGCGCAAGCCUGAUCCAGCCAUACCGCGUGGGUGAAGAAGGCCUUCGGGUUGUAAAGCCCUUUUGUUGGGAAAGAAAUCCAGCCGGCUAAUACCUGGUUGGGAUGACGGUACCCAAAGAAUAAGCACCGGCUAACUUCGUGCCAGCCGCCGCCGUAA